UGGGACAUCUAUCGGCGUCCGAGACGGCCAGCAUCUCUCGCAACUUUUACGAAAUAAAAUGCUGCGACCACUUCGCCGGUUUUACUAUGACCAAACGGACUUUCCAGAGCGCCGCAGUAGCACAGGACUCGCCCAAAUGACGCUGUGGCGUGCAUAAAGAAUGGUGCGAAGAUCUGCGAGGUUGCGGAAUUACCCUCCCGGUCUGCACGGCUCAGUUACUGCAAUUAGCCGAACAAGCGGACUGAAUAUUUCAAGUUCAUGUCGUUAUUUUUAGUUCUAGGCGCGGGACAGUCAGCCCUGACAUCGUGGCCCGCGCCAGGCUGAGGGUUACUUUACCCCUUUCCCUCAAAACAUUUUCGCAGUGCUUCAUAAGUGAAUACUGCACAGUUUAUUAUACGUUAAUAUACAUUUUCACACUGUCUGUUCAUAUUCUUUAUAGGCAGGAGAAAGGUAGAAAAAGAAAAGAAAAAAACCCCGUUUAUAUUAAAGAUGCCAUUAACUACCA